rnacentral:rRNA from 1 species
AACGUAGGUGGCGAGCGUUAUCCGGAUUUACUGGGCGUAAAGCGCGCGCAGGCGGCUAUCCAAGUCAGUGGUGAAAGCCCGGAGCUCAACUCCGGAACUGCCAUUGAAACUGUUUAGCUUGAGGAUGAGAGAGGUGAGUGGAAUUCCCAGUGUAGAGGUGAAAUUCGUAGAUAUUGGGAAGAACACCGGUGGCGAAGGCGGCUCACUGGCUCAUUACUGACGCUCAGGCGCGAUAGCGUGGGGAUCAAACAGG